AUGAGGCCCAGGAUAGGACAGGUGGGCCAUGAGGCCCGCAGGGGGCAGAGCCCUGGCCUCAGGCAGUGCUGGUCCCUGAUGCUGCUGGGCCUGGCCUUGGGCACCCAUGGCCUGCUGCUCUCUACCACAGCACCUCGGAGCAGGGCUCCCAGCUCUGGAGCCCCGACAAGAAGCAGGCCUUGGAGCCUGUGGGAAAGGUUCCUGCUCCAAACUGACAGUCGGGGGACACGCCCCAGGUGCUGGCCCGGCGGCAUUUGGUCAGAGCCUCAGUCACCAUGGUAUGUCUUCAGCAGCGGGACCCAGCUCACCGUCCUGGGUCAGCCCAAGUCCGCGCCCUCGAUCACUCUAUUCCUGCCAUCCCCUGGGGAGCUCAGCACCAAUAAGGCUACACUGGUGUGUCUCAUCAGUGACUUCUACCCCGGCAGCAUGACGGUGGCCUGGAAGGCCAAUGGCAACACUGUCACCCAGGGCGUGGAGACCACCAAGCCCUCGAAACAGAGCAACAACAAGUACGCGGCCAGCAGCUACCUGAGCCUGACGCGUGAUCAGUGGAGCUCCACCAGCAGAUACAGCUGCCAGGUCACGCACGAGGGGAGCACCGUGGAGAAGACAGUGGUCCCUGCAGAGUGUUCCUAAGACCUUGAGCCCCCCAUCCUUGGGGGCUGGAGCCUCAGGAUCUCUGGGAGAGUCUCCCCUCCCACCUUAGUUGUCCCCAGCCUUGCUCCCUGCAUACAA